UAUAUACUCCCUCCGUCCGAAAAAGCUUGUCCCUCAAAUGGAUGUAUAUAGCACCAAGUUAGUGCUAGAUAUAUCCAUUUGAGAAACAAGCUUGCGACAAGUUUUUUCGGACGGAGGGAGUACUGA
rfam:Triticum aestivum genome assembly, contig: Triticum_aestivum_CS42_TGACv1_scaffold_436464_5DL